GUUGUCCUAGCCCACUACUACUAAAACUUCCGCACCAAAUUCCAACAGUGGUAUCAAAGCCACAAAUUCUAACAAUGGUAUCAGAGCUUUCUUCGAUCAAAUUUGGGGCGUUGAUUUGUGUCUUCCACCAUGUCUACCUCCACCUCCAACCAAACAUCAAUUCCUCUUCCCAUCUUCAAGGGAGAAAACUAUGAUUUUUGGAGUAUCAAGAUGAGAACCUUCUUUAUGUCUCAAGAUCUAUGGGACAUAGUAGAGAAAGGAUUCUCGACUCCAGAAAAUCCGACGGUGGAGCAAUUGAGGCAAGAAAAGAAAGAAAAAUUAAGAUAUGCUAGUGCUCUCUUCGCCAUUCAACAAGUGGUGGACGAUACAAAUUUUUCAAGAAUCAUGGGAGCUACCACAUCAAAAGAAGCUUGGGAUCUACUAAAGGAGGAGUUUCAAGGGACGGCAAAGGUACGAUUUCCAUCCCGACUAAUUUAGGAACUAAAAAGAUUAAUGAUGUUCUAUUAGUUCCUAGCUUGGAUCAUAAUCUCCUAAGUGUCGGACAAAUGAUGGAAAAUGGUUAUGCUAUAUUAUUUCAUGGAGACUUCUGCAAAAUAUUUGACAAGAAAAGAAGGUUGAUAUUCAAAAUAAGGAUGAAAAAUAGAUAUUUCCCCAUCCAAUGGCAACAAAUGGCCAUGAAAGCAGAAGUCAAGAAGAAAAAUAUUUGUCUAGAGAAAAAGCAGCCAAGGACUCUACCACGUCAAGCAAAUAAAGAAGGGAGUUCAAAUCCUCCACAACCAAAAAUUUGUGAAGUUGCGAUGAAGAAGAAAGCCAGAAAAAGGCUAUGGAAGAAGAAAGCCAGAGGAAGGCCGUGGAAAAAGAAAGUAAGAGUGAGAACAUCUUCGCCAAGGUACUUCUAAAAUCGAGACUUAAAUUACUAUGAGAUUAGUCGGAGUACCAUCAAUGAGCAUUAAGGAGGAGUGUUAAAACAGUAAUGCUCAUUGGAGUGUUCUAAACUAUUCCCAAAUUAACUAGAUUAGUCUAGAAACAUCUUGUAAUUGAGAAGUUGUAGAAAAAUCUAGAAAGAAGUAGAUAUUUAUGAGCUAAAGUCGGUGGAGUGGAGAUAAUCAUGUGAAUGUCGGUGAACUAGCAAAAAUGUCGGCUAACCAUCUCUAUAUAUGUGUGUCCUCUUGUAAUUAUACGAAUUAAUGAACUAAGUACAAGCUAAAAGCUUCUCUCCUCUGUUUUACAUACAACCUCCUCUGUUUCUAACCCUUUAGCACCUCCCCUACUUCUAGUCCUAGCUCGCCUAGCUCCUAAACAUCUUUUCCUAAACACAUUGUCCUAGCCCACUACUACUAAAGCUUCCGCACCAAAUUCCAACAGUGGUAUCAAAGCCACAAAUUCUAACA